UACGAAGGGGGGCUAGCGUUGCUCGGAAUUACUGGGCGUAAAGGGCGCGUAGGCGGAUAGUUUAGUCAGAGGUAAAAGCCCAGGGCUCAACCUUGGAACUGCCUUUGAUACUGGCUAUCUUGAGUACGGGAGAGGUGUGUGGAACUCCGAGUGUAGAGGUGAAAAUUCGUAGAUAUUCGGAAGAACACCAGUGGCGAAGGGCGAACACACUGGCCCGUUACUGACGCUGACGGCGCGAAAGCGAUGGGGA
rnacentral:rRNA from 1 species